rnacentral:sRNA from 12 species
GCCCCGAACCCGACCUGUCCCCUUUGUGGGGUGCGUGCCGAAAGGCUAGGGUUCGGGGUUCGU